rnacentral:rRNA from 1 species
AAAGCUCGUAGUAGAAGCUCGGGCUCCGGCCGACCGGUCCGCCUCACCGCGUGCACUGGUUCGGCCGGGCCUUCACCUUCUGCGGAACCGCAUCCCCUUCACUGGGGGUGUCGGGGAAACAGGACGUUUACUGUGAAAAAAUUAGAGUGCUCCAGGCAGGCCUAUGCUCGAAUAGAUUAGCAUGGAAUAAUGGAAUAGGACGUGUGGUCUUAUUUCGUUGGUUUCUAGGACCGCCGUAAUGAUUAAUAGGGACAGUCGGGGGCAUCAGUAUUCAAUCGUCAGAGGUGAAAUUCUUGGAUCGAUUGAAGACUAACUACUGCGAAAGCAUUUGCCAAGGAUGUUUUCAUUUAUCAGGAACGAAAGUUAGGGGAUCGAAGACGAUCAGAUACCGUCGUAGUCUUAACCAUAAACUAUGCCGACUAGGGAUCGGACGGUGUUAUUUCUUGACCCGUUCGGCA